AAAAGCCGGCACGAGGCAUCGUCUUAUAAACGUCCGAAUCUUCUCGCCUGUUUGCAGCACCUAAAUAAAGCCGAACAAUGGAAUUGGUUUUUAUUUUAGCGAUAUCUUUUGGUUUUAUUUGGGUGAAGGCAGAUUCUUCGCGUCUUACCGACAACAACAAGACAACAACAUUACAGGAAAACAAAACACCGGAUUGUUACGAAAUAAGCUUCCUACGACAGAUGAUUAACCAAGAGACCGUUAUCCGCCUCGCUUUGGUCAAGAAUGUCCAUGCUCUGGUGAAUGACAUCAGCAUUUUGAAAGAAAGUUUUGCGGCAAGUGAAACAAAAAUAUCAGAACUACAGCGGACGGUUGAUACAUUAAACAUUCAGGUUAAUUCUCUUCAGCAGGAAAAUGGCCAGCUAAAGAAAAGUAGCCUAAUCAGUCAGGCCAAGAGCAUGGAGCUGGAAACGAAAUUUCAGAACGUUAGUGACAACGUUAGUGCUCUGCACGGACAGCUGAACGUCAUUCAAAAAGAAUCAGACGACAAAAGACAGGAAGUGUUUAACAAAACAAACGCUGUUCUCGAUGAUAUCAAAAUAGAAGUGCGAUACCUCUCGGUCACCUUGUUGGAUUUCAAGGAACGCACGGAAAUUGAAAAUGAAUCGAGAGACAAGAAAUACUCUGAACUUGAACGCCAUUCGAACACAUCAAUUGAAAGUUUGAAAGUUAAAAAUUCUUUAACAAAGGAGUUUGGUAAUCUUAAAUCAUUUGUACAGAAUCUACAGGACUCCCAAACAGAAAUAACAGAAAACCUCAACAGAACAGUUGCCAAGUUUGAUACACAGUUCACACUGUCUGAACAUACACAGCGGAAGUUCUCAUCCGCUUUAGCGUCUUUGGAAACGGCUCAAACAAAUUUGUCAAAAUCAAUCGAUGGUGAGAUACACAGUAAAACACGCUUAUAACGAAGUGCCAGGGACUUUGUUAUAAACGUAAUUCGUUAUAUCCGUCAAAUUUACAUCAAGUAAUAAAGUCUCAGGGAAUGAAAACCACUUUGCCCUAAGCGUCAAUUAAUUAUAAGCGUGUUCGCUAUAACCGUGUUUUACUGUAUUUACUUUUAAACAAAUCUUGUUAUUUCUUUAUUUACAUUAUUUUUCUGUGUUUUUGUCUGUGAUAAUACUACGAAUUGAUUUUGUAAUGUAUAAACACUAUGCCGGAUAAUCAUGCCAAUGCGUAAGUGGCAUUUUUGCACCCGCGUAAGAUGCAUUUUCGUAAAAAUCCAUAUAUACCAAAUAAAAGACCAUUGUAUAGAGAGU
rnacentral:misc_RNA from 1 species